rnacentral:rRNA from 1 species
GUCCACGCCGUAAACGUUGGGCACUAGGUGUGGGCUUCAACCGAACGAAGUCCGUGCCGUCGCUAACGCAUUAAGUGCCCCGCCUGGGGAGUACGGCCGCAAGGCUAAAACUCAAAGGAAUUGACGGGGGCCCGCACAAGCAGCGGAGCGUGUUGCUUAAUUCGAUGCAACGCGAAGAACCUUACCUGGGCUUGACAUGUAGGGAAAAGCCGUAGAGAUACGGUGUCCUUCGGGCCGUUACACAGGUGGUGCAUGGCUGUCGU